GGGGAAUAUUGGACAAUGGGGGAAACCCUGAUCCAGCAAUGCCGCGUGAAUGAAGAAGGCCUUAGGGUUGUAAAGUUCUUUUGUCCGUGACGAUAAUGACGGUAGCGGACGAAUAAGCCCUGGCUAACUCUGUGCCAGCAGCCGCGGUAAUACAGAGAGGGCAAGCGUUGUCCGGAAUGACUGGGCGUAAAGCGCGCGCAGGCGGUCUUUUAAGUUGGAUGUGAAAUCCCCGGGCUUAACCUGGGAACUGCAUUCGAUACUGGGAGACUAGAGGCCGAGAGAGGAAAGCGGAAUGACGAGUGUAGAGGUGAAAUUCGUAGAUAUUCGUCGGAACACCAGAGGCGAAGGCGGCUUUCUGGCUCGGACCUGACGCUCAGGCGCGAAAGCGUGGGGAGCAAAC
rnacentral:rRNA from 1 species